rnacentral:rRNA from 1 species
AUUGAACGCUGGCGGCAGGCUUAACACAUGCAAGUCGAGCGAGCGGCGGACGGGUGAGUAAUGUAUGGGGAUCUGCCCGAUAGAGGGGGAUAACUACUGGAAACGGUAGCUACUACCGCAUACUAUCAGAUGAACCCAGAUGGGAUUAGCUAGUCGGUGGGGUAAAGGCUCACCUAGGCGACGAUCCCUAGCUGGUCUGAGAGGAUGAACAGCCACACUGGUACUGAGACACGGCCCAGACUCCUACGUGAGGCAGCAGUUGGGAAUAUUGCACAAUGGGCGCAAGCCUGAUGCAGCCAUGCCUGGUGUAUGAAGAAGGCCGUAGGGUUGUAAAGUACUUUCAGCGGGGAGGCGUUACCCGCAGAAGAAGCACCGGCUAACUCCGUGCCAGCAGCCGCGGUAAUAC